rnacentral:lncRNA from 1 species
UUUCAUUUGUGCCUUCUUUGAAUAUUAUUCUUGAUACUCCUUGAAAUAACUUGAAAAAGAUUCCAUCUACACUUGAUUUGAAAAAUAUCUUUGGAAUCUACAUUUAGAGAUCACUUCUGGCUCACAUCCUAAAUGUCUCAUUCUUAAAGCCAAACUUUUCAUCCUUGAUUUUGAUGAUAUCUGUUACCCCUGAAAUUGUUUCAGAUUUACUCUUUUUGAAAGAAAGGUAAAAGAACUUUAAAAGAAUGUUAAAAUUAUCAAAUUUGAUGUGAUCUCAUCAUAAUUUUGAAACUACCUUAAUUGGCUCUGAUCUAUACUCAUUAUCUUGCCCUGACAUUAUUGCCUUGAGUUACGUGAUUCAUAUGCUUGCAAUAAUUUGACAUACAUUGAAUGAAAU